UUAUAGAAGUUGGAUUUUGAAGA
rnacentral:piRNA from 1 species